CUAAAUUAUCCAAAUUGGCAGAGUGUGUUAAAGAUAUGUAAUGGGGUAGAAAGUGUAGGACUACAAAUCCCAGGAGUCAAGACACUAUAAAAGGAAACCAAUAUUUUUUAUAUUUCCUCUUUGUGGUACCAUGUGCUAAGCAGGAGAAGCUGUGUGGUGUUUUCAAGGCUGUGUAAUAGCAGAUGAAAUGACCAGUUGAUUAAUGAACAGCAUAGCAGCAUAGAACUGAAUUUGUGAAGAGCAAUUGCCAUGGAAUAUGAUUGGGAACUCUGUCUGUAAUGGAUGCCCGUCCCAAGGUGACUAGAGUACAUCAGCUUCAGUUUGGUUCCAGCCUCUUCAGAUGACUUCAGAUGAUCACCACCCGUGAAAAGAUGACCCCAACCUCUGUGAGGACUUCAGAUGACACAAACUCUGGAUCAACAUGCACCAUUCAAAUAUUGCUAUAUAUCCUAAUCAUUUUUUAACAUGUAUUAAUUACUUUAAUGAGCUCAUUGUUUCUACAUCACAUUAACACAUGGUUUAAAUUAAUACAUUGUUAGCUAAAUGCAUUAUUUGUAUAUCUGAAGUUACAUAAUUUGGACACAGUCCCCUCUGAAAACCAAUCACUCUAAAUUUGUAAUGUUGACCUGCAUUUCCCGAAAAGCUGCUUUGAAAUAUGUAUUGUGAAAAGCGCUAUAUAAAUAAAUGAAUUGAAUACCUACCUGAUCUACUCACCUGUUGAGAUUCUGUUCUGUUUUCAGCCUCUGUCAUCUGUCAUCUUCAAUACCUGCAAAGACACAAAGACUAUGACCACAUAAGCCAAGUCUGCCUAAA